GGCCUGGUGGUCUAGUAGUAUGAUUCCUUCUUAGGGCGUACCCAUUCCUGGGAUCACCUAAUUGGAGGAGGCCCCGGGUUCAAUUCCCGGCCAGGCCC